rnacentral:rRNA from 1 species
GACGAACGCUGGCGGCGUGCCUAAUACAUGCAAGUAGAACGCACAGUUUAUACCGUAGCUUGCUACACCAUAGACUGUGAGUUGCGAACGGGUGAGUAACGCGUAGGUAACCUGCCUGGUAGCGGGGGAUAACUAUUGGAAACGAUAGCUAAUACCGCAUAAUAUUGAUUAUUGCAUGAUAAUUAAUUGAAAGGUGCAAUUGCACCACUACCAGAUGGACCUGCGUUGUAUUAGCUAGUAGGUGAGGUAACGGCUCACCUAGGCGACGAUACAUAGCCGACCGGAGAGGGUGAUCGGCCACACUGGGACUGAGACACGGCCCAGACUCCUACGGGAGGCAGCAGUAGGGAAUCUUCGGCAAUGGACGAAAGUCUGACCGAGCAACGCCGCGUGAGUGAAGAAGGUUUUCGGAUCGUAAAGCUCUGUUGUAAGAGAAGAACGGGUGUGAGAGUGGAAAGUUCACACUGUGACGGUAUCUUACCAGAAAGGGACGGCUAACUACGUG